CUGCCAGUCGAUUAGUCAGAAAGGAAGCCCCAUCCCUUGGAUGAAGUUGUUGGUGCUUCCUACACCGACCUCCUCGGGAUGAGUUUUUGGUUACCUGUCUCCAACUUUUAUCCACAAUUGCUGACUUUGCUUUUCCUAUAUAGUUGGCACACAAUGUUACCGUCCUUAGCGAGGGCUUGAUCGAUUUCAACCAAAUAAAGCUCUCGCUAGAGGAAAAGCUUAGGGAGUACGAGGCUUGAGUGAAGGCUACAUAGGAGGAGAGGCAGGUCACCGAGGAAGUGAGGUAAGCCACCAAGGAGACAAAGAAGGUAGUCGAAGAGGAAGCUUCUUGAG
rnacentral:lncRNA from 1 species